GGGUUUAAAGCGUUCGUAGGCGGUUUGUUAAGUCUGAUGUUAAAGACCGGGGCUCAACCUCGGAAAUGCAUUGGAUACUGGCAGACUGGAGUGCAGUAGAGGCUAGUGGAAUUCCCAGUGUAGCGGUGAAAUGCGUAGAUAUUGGGAAGAACACCGGUGGCGUAGGCGACUAGCUGGGCUGUAACUGACGCUGAGGAACGAAAGCCAGGGGAGCAAAUGGGAUUAGAUACCCCAGUAGUCCUGGCCGUAAACGAUGGAUACUAGGCGUAGUGGGUAUCGACCCCUGCUGUGCCGCAGCUAACGCGAUAAGUAUCCCGCCUGAGUAGUACGGCCGCAAGGUUGAAACU
rnacentral:rRNA from 1 species